CACGCUGUAAACGAUGGGUACUAGGUUUGGUGGGUCUUGACCCCCGCUGAACCGGCGCUAACGCAAUAAGUACCCCGCCUGGGAAGUACGGUCGCAAGACUAAAACUCAAAGGAAUUGACGGGGGCCCGCACAAGCGGUGGAUCAUGUGGUUUAAUUCGAAGCAACGCGAAGAACCUUACCUGGAUUUGACAUCCUUGGACAACCCUAGAGAUAGGGCUUUCGUAGCAAUACGACCAAGUGACAGGUGC
rnacentral:rRNA from 1 species